UACGUAGGGUGCGAGCGUUGUCCGGAAUUAUUGGGCGUAAAGAGCUCGUAGGCGGUGUGUCACGUCGUUCGUGAAAACCUGCAGCUUAACUGUGGGCGUGCGGUCGAUACGGGCAUCACUGGAGUUCGGCAGGGGAGACUGGAAUUCCUGGUGUAGCGGUGAAAUGCGCAGAUAUCAGGAGGAACACCGGUGGCGAAGGCGGGUCUCUGGACAGUUCCUGACGCUGAGGCACGAAGGUCAGGGGAGCAAACGGG
rnacentral:rRNA from 1 species